CGGGCAUAUGUCUGAUCUCAGCGGGGAGAAGAAGAUGUGGAAGGAGGAGUAUGAUGUUCAUUUCCACUUUCUGCUCGAACUUCUGGUUCUUUCUUUUCAGAUUCAGUUCCAUUCUGUUGUGUUGGUUCAGCAUCUGUCCUCCUUUACUGUUGCUCACACCUCCCACUUCUGAUGAGAUCCUGGACAGAGAAGAAUGGAGCCUAACAAACUUCACCUCCUAAGCUGAGAGAUGGUGCAUGUAAUAAUAAAUUCCACUGCUCUUCUCGAAGUUACUCUA